GUAGGGUGCAAGCGUUAAUUGGAAUUACUGGGCGUAAAGCGUGCGCAGGCGGUUUUGUAAGACAGUGGUGAAAUCCCCGGGCUCAACCUGGGAACUGCCAUUGUGACUGCAAGGCUGGAGUGCGGCAGAGGGGGAUGGAAUUCCGCGUGUAGCAGUGAAAUGCGUAGAUAUGCGGAGGAACACCGAUGGCGAAGGCAAUCCCCUGGGCCUGCACUGACGCUCAUGCACGAAAGCGUGGGGAGCAAACAGGAUUAGAUACCCUGGUAGUCCACGCCCCUAAACGAUGUCAACUGGUUGUUGGGAAUUUAUUUCUCAGUAACGAAGCUAACGCGUGAAGUUGACCGCCUGGGAGUACGGCCGCAAGGUU
rnacentral:rRNA from 1 species